AACAGUUCGAUAGCAUUUUGUUUAGCCGAGCAAGAUAUAUUUAAUACCCAGCCAUUAUUUGGCUUGUGCCUUGCCAAACAAUAUAAAUCAAGUUGCAUAUCUCAUUGCAACACAGAGUAUUCUUAUAGGUAAAAGUAACUAACUGAAAGGAGGAAACAUUUAUGUUUCAAUCACCGAGACACCUGAUUGGUUUACAAAAUGAUAGAUGCAUGUCCAAAGAUUCAUUGUUUGCUCCAUUACAAAAAAUGCCCAGUUGACAAGACACCAUAUAGGUUUACAAAAUGAUAAAAGACACAUUGUUCUUCUCCAUUACACAAACUGCCUAGCUGACGCAAACUGCCAUCUUCAUGAUUACUUCCUGGUCCUCUUGUAUGUCAUUCCUACAAAGGAUAAAAGGGUCGCCGAUGAAUUCAUGCAUUCAUUGAGAUAAUGGAAUAAAUAAUAAUUGUAUAAAGCACCAAUGGCAAAAAAAAAACUGGGAUUUUAGUAUUAUAAAAACAGGGCAUUUAGAUACAUUAAAAUUGAGCAUUUUUCCAGGCCUCUGAGGGCAUCAGCACUCCCGGCCGUCUGAUCGCUAAUUCUAACCAUUUUUGGCCGUCAGAUUAGCUGUGAAUCACACCUAAACAGCCUUCGUUCGCUAUUAACGUAGACGAACCGUUACGGGCCGCUGCUCUGGUCGCUUUUUCUGCUGUCUCGGGUUAAAUUGGGCCGCAUGGGCUGUAACAGACUCCCUUAUGGGUCUCUAGAUGUCUGCACGUUCUGAUAUCUAAAGCCAUCGAUCAUUUCCUCCGCUAGGUCGCACUCCCGCACCCUUCGCAUGGCGGCGGCUCUUCCCAUCGGACCGAUUUCGAAGCGACGGAUUCCCAUGGCGAGAGCCGACCUCGCUGGGUUUGCACAGCGCCUCGCCUGGCGACGACACGGGUUCUGUUUGGUUGCAAGGCGCGACGGGAUGGUGUGUGGCGGCGAACAGUGUCCCGUCUUUGGCGUUCUCCUCCUCGGUUGCUGAGAUGGCCGGUCUCGGGAAGGCAGUCGAUGCCGGCGCGGCCAAGAAGGCGACGUCGAGGAUCUCCAAGGCCGGGCUACAGUUUUUCCUCGGCAGGAUCGCCAGAUUCCUCAAGGCCGGCAAGUACACAAGUUUCUCGGCGCACGAGUACCUCGCCACUGAGGUGCGUUUCUCCCUCAUCUCAUUCUUGCCCUUGUUCUUUGAUUUUCUAUUCCUCAACCCCAUUCGUUCCUGGGUUCCCAUUAAUCAGGCUAUUCUUAGAUCUUUUUUAGACUGUACGGUCGAUUAGUAACUAAUGCCUGAAUAUUUGUGCUAAUCUUGUCAUUCUUCCCCAUUGACGCAGGUACUGGAACUGGCCGGCAACACUGCCAGGCACAACAACAAGACCCGUAUCAUGCCCCGCCACAUUCAGCUCGCCAUGCGCAAUGAUGCUGAGCUGACCAAGUUGCUCGGCGGUGCCACCUGUAGCUGUAGGUGUGGCUCUCGCCGCGUGGAUACAUUUCAGAGCUGCAACAUCCUUCCAAGUAAUGUCUCCUCGCUCUUGUCCUUCUCGCUAUCAUACUCCGAUAGGUGUGAGUGAUAGCAAUGCCCAAUUCUCCAUGCUCACCACCACUUUACACCGUGGGCUGAUACUCGCUCGGUCCAACAAUAAAUCAAGCACAACUACAACUAAGGAUGGCAAUUUUAUCCAUGGACAUGGAUAUCCGACCCGAAUGGAUAGGGUUUGGAUAUGCUUUUGUGUCCAUGGGCAGCGCCCAAACCCGACCCGAUUGUUCGUGGAUAGGGCAUGAAUAUAAUCUUGUACCCAUGGAUAUACCCAAACCCGACCCGAUGGUAUGACUUAAUGGAGGAAAAUCUUCUAUCCCUGCCCCACGGUCUUAUGUCCCACAACAAUUUUACACUUUUUUUAUCUAAAACAUGCAUAAGAAAUUACACAAUUCCCAUCGUAACUUUUAUUAGUUGACAUUCAAUCCCCUCCGUAACAUACUCCAACACCCCUUCCCUUAUUUUUACCUCCUUAAAUGACUCGUCAUUCUCAUCUGUUCGAAAAAUACUAAAUGAUCUUAAGUUGUUAGUGGAUGUUGAUUUACUAUAAGUGAAGCCUAGCUUGCCACGACGUGAAGGAUGGAAGAGUUUAUGUUAAUAUUGUGUUAUGUCAUAUUUAUAUGUCUCGAGAGGACCCAAUGGAUAUCCAGUGGAUAUGGAUAUCCAUCGGAUUUGGACAUGGACACAAUUUUUCACCCAUGGAUUUUUUCAUGGGCGGGCAAAGACUGUCUUCAUGGAUAUGGAUAUGGAUUUGAUAUUGUUCAACCCGAUCCAAACCCGACCCAUUGCCAUCCUUAACUACAACUAUGGCCUUCACUACCUUAGCUUUUUGGAGUUGGCACUAAAGUUGUUUGAUGAAAAUCCAAUGAUGGUGAUGUGCAGUAUGAAGUUAUCCCUCAUGAAUAUAUCCAGUCGAAUGUUAAUCCUCGCUGGUCACAAUUAAACUUCACCUUCUCAUUCACAAUUAAACUUCACCUUCUCAUUCACAAUUAAACUUCACCUUCUCAUGAUACCAUCUUUGCUUUGUUUGAUAAUAAGACAUGUCAUAGGGGGCCAAGCAACACAAAUCUGAAGAACCAUGUUACCCAACUUGCUCUCAUAUGCUACAAAAAAAAAGAGGAUAUACACGAGAAUUACACUUCAUAGUUGAUUUCAUAACAUCAUAUACAUGUAUUGGUAUAUUCUCACCUCAAUGUUAGUAGUUGGCUGUAAAUAACUUGUCUAUCAUCCAUCUAGCUCGACGUGAUGGUUAUUUGUUCAGUCCCCGUGAAUUUAGCAUAAUCAAUCUCCAACCAUAAAUAGCUGGUUUUGAUUCAUCCAUCUUGCUCUUAUCUCUCAAUCUCCCUAAAUUUAUCAUGAUCAAUCUCCAUCUAUAACUAACUGGUUUCGAUACAUCCAUCAAGCUUGGCAUGACGGUUAUCUACUCAUUCUCUGGAAUUAGCAUGAUCAAUCUCCAAUUUAUGAGUAUUUUAACCCAAUUCAUUCUCUAAAUAUUCCACUCGUUAUCUCAUGUUGUCUGUAGGGAACACAAGACGUACGGACAUGAGCUUGGAGCAACUCCGUCCGUGUCGGCUCCUUUUCAUUUAUUUAUUUUGUGAAUUCCUUCUAAUUUAUUCAUGAUCUUACUUGUGCUACUAUUCUUGGCCACCAUUCCUUUUCUGCUUGCAUGUUUGGAGCCAUGAGGAUUGCCACUCGAUAAGCGGGGGCAUACCCCAGAUGGUAACUUGCCCGAAUGAGCCGAUGAGAGGCACAAAGUUCCUUUGUAGCUCAGGCUACAUGGAACCUCUUAUCCUCAACCCUUCAGCCUUGCUUUGAGAUUCGUACUCUCCAACUAACUUACAACAAGAAGAUUUUUCUUUUUUGUUUCUCUAAAAUGAAACAACAUAUGAACUUCAAACUUUGCAGAUCGAACAAACAUUAGAACAUCAAUGUGUGAAAAAACUUUAUGAUUUUUUGGUCUGAUAUAAAUAUAGAAAAUGAGAUUUUGUUUGACUAAAAAUAUUAUUGUAAGUAUUUAAAAUGCAUGAAAAAAUCUGAAAGUUUUUUCCGAGAUUGUAGUUAGAAUGUAUUGUUGUUCUGCAAAAUUUGAAGUUUAUAUGUUGUGUCGUUUGAGAGAAACAAAAAAGACAAAUGCGUCUGCAUGGAUCGCGAUGCAUAAAUAGAUGGCAAAGAUAAGGGGUACCGUGUAGCCUGAGCUACAGAAAACCAUACUCAGAGGUGAUGGUGAAAGGCUAAUGAUGGCUUCUUUGACCACCACUUGAGCCAUCCAUGGUCUUCUACUCCUCACCAAUUCACCAUCGCCUGCCUUAGACUACACCGACACCCUACGGUUUCCUUUAUUUGGUGUUUUCUGUAGAAGUACCGAAGCGUCUUUAGAGUUUCACAAUAACUCGGCCAUUUUGUUAAUGGAUGAUAUUCAGAAAUCUAACGCAUAUGUAUAUAUAUUAGUUGUAACUACCGUUAUGCUAAAAAUGCAAUUUUGUUCAUUUUGCUUUUUACUCACAUGCGGUGCUGGACACGAAUGCAAAAAAAAAAGUUUACAUGACUCACAUGUUUCAUGCCUCUACAUAUUUAUUGAAAUUUCUGCCAUUCUACUGUAAAAAUGAAUGGCUGCGGCAAUUCGCGCCAUCAUGCUUUCAAAUACCAUUGAACAUGCAUGAUACUUUAUUUAAGUUAGCUUGCAUAAUUUUUGUCUAUGUAUUUACAAAAAAACAUCCAUUUUAAUGAACAAAUAGACGGGCGCAGCAACGCGCGCCAUCAUGGUCUAGUGUUCUAAUUAGAAUCUGUGAUGGGUUAGACAUAAUAAAGCAUCAAUGCCACACCGACCCACCAUAUAGCCUGUAUCAAUCUCCUCAAGUCGCAGACCAGGAAGUAUAUUAAAUGGAAAAGGAGCAUAUGCAUCAUCUGGCCACAAGGCAACAAUUUAGCAUGUCCAGACACCCAAUUAUUGGGGGCAACACAUCCACCGCGGACAGAUGGAAGUCAAUUUUGAAGAAAAGACUGGGCUAGUUAUCUUUUUUUUCUUAUCUGGGGUGGAAAGACCGCACUUUGCUGCACUAGACAGCAAUACAUUAGGCAAAAUGAUUACUAUCUAAUACACAGCUAGAAGUUUCAAUGAUGAGUGCAGCAUGGCCUGGGAAAAGCAUUCUCAAAAACCCACUUACAUCAGGAGGUUAUACAUACUUUCCCUAUGUUAGAAAUGAAUUUCAAGGAGAAGAAUCUAUCCGCAAUCAUUUCUAAAUGCAGUACUAAGCACAUGAGGACCUGCAAAAUACCAAACAAAAAGUAUCUGAACUUACACUGCACCUGACUAUUAUAUUCAUAAAAACAUCGGAGAAAAGCAUCUGUACUUUAGUGCCACAAAUUAGAUUAAAUUGAUGACCAUCCUCUGAUCCCACCGCACUAAGUUGUGGCAAUUGCGGGACAGAUGUGGGCGAAUUAACAAUGACCUUUUUAGAACUAACUUGCUUAUGCCAUAUGCAUGGUAGGAUCACCAUUAAGCACCUG
rnacentral:lncRNA from 1 species